AGUGAACGCUGGCGGUAGGCCUAACACAUGCAAGUCGAACGGCAGCACAGGAGAGCUUGCUCUCUGGGUGGCGAGUGGCGGACGGGUGAGGAAUACAUCGGAAUCUACUCUGUCGUGGGGGAUAGCGUAGAGAAACUUACGCUAAUACCGCAUACGACCUACGGGUGAAAGCAGGGGAUCUUCGGACCUUGCGCGAUUGAAUGAGCCGAUGUCGGAUUAGCUAGUUGGCGGGGUAAAGGCCCACCAAGGCGACGAUCCGUAGCUGGUCUGAGAGGAGGAUCAGCCACACUGGAACUGAGACACGGUCCAGACUCCUACGGGAGGCAGCAGUGGGGAAUAUUGGACAAUGGGCGCAAGCCUGAUCCAGCCAUACCGCGUGGGUGAAGAAGGCCUUCGGGUUGUAAAGGCCUUUUGUUGGGAAAGAAAUCCAGCUGGCUAAUACCCGGUUGGGAUGACGGUACCCAAAGAAUAAGCACCGGCUAACUUCGUGCCAGCCGCCGCGGUAA
rnacentral:rRNA from 1 species